rnacentral:misc_RNA from 1 species
UUCCUUUUCUCUUCACGUUGGAAAGAAAAAGAAAAAAAAUGAAUCGUGCAAGAAGCUCAGCUAAAAAGAGGCCAAUUGCUUGAGAUAGUCUUAAGAACGGACUGUGGAUACCGGCUUGAAAGGAAAAAUUUCAAGUUAGCUAACCAUAUGUUUACAUACAAGUUAAUUCUAUAUAUAUUCUAUAUUGAAGAACUGAAUCGAAAAAAAGUGUCUCAUAACACCUCAAUUUCUUGUAGUGAAAUUGUCACAAAUUCACAUUAAGUAUGGGAAGAAACUAUGGUAGACAUGGUAGAUAUUUAACUCUCUGUAGUAAAAGACUUUCUAAAAAGAAAAAAUUUGUUUUAAGGCGACGACGUAAAAGAGAGAUGAUGGAACAAGCAGCCUUAGCAGCCAACUAUAUCGCUAACAAUAUUAUUAAAAGUGAAUCCAUUGAGUCAAUAGACUCAUUCAUAUCACCUGAAGCAAUGGAGUCAAACUCAUUCAUGUCAUCUGAAGUAAUGGAUUCGAAAGAAAUGAACACUUUAGAAACGAACCUAGGUACAAAGCCAAUGAAUUCAAAAGAAAUAAAUACUUUAGAAACGUACUUGGAAACAAGGCCAAUGAAUUCGAAAGAAAUAAAUACUUUAGAAACGUACCAGGAUAUAAGCCCAAUGAAUUCGAACGAAAUAAAUACUUUAGAAACGUAUUUGGAAACAAGGCCAAUGAAUUCAAAAAUAAUGAAUACUUUAGAAACGUACUUGGAUACAAAGCUAAAUAAAGAUAUAUAUGAAAAUGUCCGAAUUUGUGAAGAAGACGACAUUCCAGGUAUAAAUCGUAUCCAAGAGCAUGAGCCUGAAGGUGAUCGUAUUAUCAAUAUUUCUUUCUUUAUGAAAGAGAUGCAUCGGGUAUUUGAUGGUCAUGCACCAGGAUUUGAGUGCAAAUUUAAAGAUUGGAUACUUAUAAAUUCACGUCGCCGAGGAUUACUGACACAGUUCUUUUAUAAGUGUCAAACCUGUAGUUAUGAAGCAAACUUUUGGUCACAUCCCACAGACAAAAAAGUCUUUCUCAUCAGUACGGCUAUUACAGCUUCCAAUCAAAAUUCAAAGAUUGGAAUUAAUGCUGAACUGAAAGAACAAUUUGCCGCUGUAAAUCUACCGUGUUUGAAUGGGAAAAUAGAUAUCAGAUAAGAUAUUUAUUAAUCAAUGAUAUCGAAAUGACGAACAUUAAAAAUAUGAAACUAACAGGAAAUUAAAAAGCAAUUCAAUCGAAGAGAAAUGAAGUAAUUAGUGGCAUUUGUAUUGUUGCGUCCGAAUGAUACGACUAUUAAGUUUGAGCUGUUCAAUGAAUGAAGUAUCCUUCGGACGAAUCGUUCUUUUUAAGAAUAGAUAUCAUGGUUACUAACUGGAACUUUGAUUCGGACAUAUCGAAUUUAUCUCCAUACGUCCGGUUUCAAAUACUCACGAUCAUUUACACAGGUUGUAAUCUAUGUAAUAUAAACUUAUGCCAUAAUCCUGUAAGAAUUGAUCAAUUAUAGUCGAUUAUUCCUCUCUCAUUCAACUAUGAUCAAGUCUUACAGAUUAUGGUCAGUAUAAAUGAUCCUAAACUCACUGAAAUAUAAUAUUGAAACGCGCAUUUGCUGAUAUCGCAAUCCGAUAAAGAAGGUUCUAAAUGAUAUUUCUAUGAUAAAAGACAUCAUAUAUAAUAUUGAAACGCUAUCUCUCAUAUCACUUAACAAAGGCAAUAGAGGGUCGCGUGUUUCAGUAUAAUUAUAUUUCAGUGAUGUCACUUUAACUACAUAAUGUUGCUUUCCUUUUAGAACACAAUCGAUACUAUUUGUUUUAUUGAAUAAAUUUAUUGAAGAAGGAUAGAACAACGAUUGUGUAUCAAUCGUCUCCUAAAAGGAAAACAACCUAAGUAUAGAUUUUAAUUAAUAUUAACCUCGUGAGAUAUCAUAGGCCAAGAUGUAUUGCGACGCCGAACAGAAUUAAUUUUUGUAACGUAUUCUAUAGUGCUGUCUGUGAAAAAAGACUUUUCAUUUUUGUAUUUUCUGCGAAGAGGUAUUAAUUAGACAAAAAGGUAUAUAUACUAAGAUUCUAAAUAAUCAGAGAAUUGGUUUUGCGUCACGAUUUUUAAUCGAUGAUGCUUUUUAAUUAAAAGCCAUAUUAAUUGAACGUCAUUAUGUUGAAAAUUCGAUUCAGAUAAAAUAAUACUUCUAGAUGUAAGAAUAUAUGGUAUUCGCUCCCGAGAUGCGCAGUACUGAUCAAUCCAAGAGUUGUCCCAAAUGCAAAAAGCAUUAUGGCUUCUAUGAUCUGCGACAGAUUAAAAGUUGGUUUAUAAUAACAGAGAAAAACCUUUCUGAUAAUAGUAAUCUGUAAGUAUUGACUAAUCACCGUCAAAUGAGAGAAGAAUAAUUGAUUGAUCAAUUCUUACGGUAUAAGUUAAUAGAUUACGGUUAUUAAUCUCAAGUUAAGGAGUACUCCUGAGUAGUCACUUUAGCCAUAUUGAAUCGUGACGUCGUCAUAAGCGAGAAAUGACACGUUGAUUUUUCUUGCAUAUCAUUUAUAAAUAAAGAGAAUUUGGAUGAAACGAAAUGAUGAGAUCUAUUUAAAACACUUGUAAAAAUGAAAAUUAUCCUUAUCUCCCCUGACAAUAAAGAAUCGAAAAAAGUUCGUUUACGUAUCUUUUACGAUUAUUUACUGACUAUCAAAGGAGAUAAGGAUAGUUUUUCAUCCAUUUUUACAAGUGUUUUUACAAAUGUUUAUGACGUCAUGAUUUAAUAUAGUUGGAGUACUCUCAGUAGCCUUAAAUUAUAUAUUUCCACAAUGCUAUCGUGUCGCACUAUAUUUGAGGCUACAUUUCGAUUCACUAAAUUUGAUCCCACCAUCAUGCAUAAUGAAAUACCUUAUUCUUACAUCAUGUUCUUAGUGAUCGUCGGUUCUUGUAGUUGUACUUAUUUUCGCAAUGGUUCGUUUCGAAUUAAUUUCGGCAUAGGAACGGUGACUCGUGUUUAAAGAUCGAUAGGAGGAUAUAUUAAUUAUAAUUAAUACUCAUUUAAAUCCCCUUUACAUGUCUGCAUUCUCUCAGAAAAUACCAUAUAUUGUUUUUUAAUAGGGAUGGGCGACAUAUCGCCGAUACUUUGUCUUUUAAUUGAUGUACAUGAACAUUUGAACAGGAAUAUUAAUUUUUCGAUAUGAUCCGAUAAGUCCGUAUUUAGCCCGGAUUAAGAUCAGAAACUUAUUAUUUGUUACUUAUUAUACAUAUAUGGUAAGAAUACAAUAUAUAAUAAUA